CAGAAACUACAAAGGAAGUUGACGGGGCCCGGCACAAGCGGUGGAGUAUGUGGUUUAAUUCGAUGCAACGCGAAGAACCUUACCUGGUCUUGACAUCCCGGAGACCCUUAGGAAACUAGGGGUGCUUCCAUCUGGAAGAAUCUGGAGACAGGUGCUGCAUGGCUGUCGUCAGCUCGUGUCGUGAGAUGUUGGGUUAAGUCCCGCAACGAGCGCAACCCUUGCCUUUAGUUGCCAGCAGUUCGGCUGGGCACUCUAAAGGGACUGCCGGUGUUAAACCGGAGGAAGGUGGGGAUGACGUCAAGUCCUCAUGGCCUUUAUGACCAGGGCUACACACGUACUACAAUGGCCGAUACAAAGGGCAGCGACACUGCGAGGUGAAGCCAAUCCCGUAAAAUCGGUCUCAGUCCGGAUUGGAGUCUGCAACUCGACUCCAUGAAGUUGGAAUCGCUAGUAAUCGUGGAUCAGCAUGCCACGGUGAAUACGUUCCCGGGCCUU
rnacentral:rRNA from 1 species